rnacentral:ncRNA from 1 species
CCGUACCCACAUCCGCAGCAGGUCUCCAAGGUGAACAGCCUCUAGUCGAUGGACCAAUGUAGGUAAGGGAAGUCGGCAAAACGGAUCCGUAACCUUGGGAUAAGGAUUGGCUCUGAGGACUGAGCCGGUCGGGCUGGGGACCUGAAGCAGGAACGGCACUGCACCGGGACUGGGCGGGGCUCGCCGUUCACGCGGCGCGGCCAAGCCCGGACCAGCGUCGGGACCUUCCUGUGGAAAGCCUCAGCUGCGCGGCGUCUGAGGGCUUCGUGCCCAAAGUGCUAUGCUUCGGCCGGCAAAAAACAGUCAACUCAGAACUGGCACGGACCGGGGGAAUCCGACUGUCUAAUUAAAACAAAGCAUUGCGAUGGCCGCUGGUCGGUGUUGACGCAAUGUGAUUUCUGCCCAGUGCUCUGAAUGUCAACGUGAAGAGAUUCAUCAAAGCGCGGGUAAACGGCGGGAGUAACUAUGACUCUGCGGUUAGGGGCUCGGAAGCAUCCACCGUGGUAACGGAGGUUCGGCAACCCUCCUCUGAUGACCAUCCUGAACAGGAUGAAUGGCUAU